rnacentral:tRNA from 1 species
GCCCUCGUAGCUCAAUGGAUAGAGCAUCCGGUUUCUACCCGGCUGGUUGCGGGUUCGACUCCUGCCGAGGGCG